rnacentral:tRNA from 1 species
ACCUGAGUGGCUCAGAGGUUAAAGUGUCUGCCUGCAAUGCAGGAGAUCCAGGUUUGAUCCCUGGGUUGGGAA